rnacentral:rRNA from 1 species
GGAAGGAUCAUUACCGAAUCGUCAACGGGUUGUUGCUGGUCCUCAAACGGGGACAUGUGCACGCUCUGUUUACACAUCCACUCACACCUGUGCACCCUCCGUAGUUCUGUGGUCUGGGGGACCCUGUCUUCCUGCCGUGGUUCUACGUCUUUACACACACACUGUAAUAAAGUCUUAUGGAAUGUAUGCCGCGUCUAACGCAAUACAAUACAACUUUCAGCAACGGAUCUCUUGGCUCUCGCAUCGAUGAAGAACGCAGCGAAAUGCGAUAAGUAAUGUGAAUUGCAGAAUUCAGUGAAUCAUCGAAUCUUUGAACGCACCUUGCGCCCCUUGGCUAUUCCGAGGGGCAUGCCUGUUUGAGUAUCAUGAACACCUCAACUCUCAUGGUUUGCCGUGAUGAGCUUGGACUCUGGGGGUUUUGCUGGCCUGCGGUCGGCUCCCCUCAAAUGAAUCAGCCUCCCAGUGUUUGGUGGCAUCACGGGUGUGAUAAAUAUCUACGCUCGCAGUUGUCCGCCAGGUAACCUUUGGUAACAAAGGUUCGCUGGAGCUCACAGAUGUCUCUCCUCAGCGAGGACAGCUUUUUGAACGUUCGAUCUCAAAUCAGGUAGGACUACCCGCUGAACUUAAGCAUAUCAAUAAGCGGAGGAAAAGAAACUAACAAGGAUUCCCCUAGUAACUGCGAGUGAAGCGGGAAGAGCUCA